AUUGAACGCUGGCGGCAUGCUUUACACAUGCAAGUCGAACGGUAACAGGUUAAGCUGACGAGUGGCGAACGGGUGAGUAAUGCAUCGGAACGUGCCCGGUCGUGGGGGAUAACGCAGCGAAAGCUGCGCUAAUACCGCAUACGAUCUAAGGAUGAAAGCGGGGGACCGUAAGGCCUCGCGCGAUCGGAGCGGCCGAUGUCAGAUUAGGUAGUUGGUGGGGUAAAGGCUCACCAAGCCAACGAUCUGUAGUUGGUCUGGGAGGACGACCAGCCAACCUGGGACUGGGACACGGCCCAGACUCCUACGGGGGGCAGCAGUGGGGAAUUUUGGACAAUGGGCGAAAGCCUGAUCCAGCAAUGCCGCGUGCAGGAAGAAGGCCUUCGGGUUGUAAACUGCUUUUGUACGGAGCGAAAAGGUCUCCUCUAAUACAGGGGGCUCAUGACGGUACCGUAAGAAUAAGCACCGGCUAACUACGUGCCAGCCGCCGCGGUAA
rnacentral:rRNA from 1 species